rnacentral:lncRNA from 1 species
AGAAGAAGAAGAAGAAGAAGAAGAAGAAGAAGAAGAAGAAGAAGAAGAAGAAGAAGAAGAAGAAGAAGAAGAAGAAGAAGAAGAAGAAGAAGAAGAAGAAGAAGAAGAAGAAGAAGAAGAAGAACGGGAAGAAGUGGCAAGGCAUUGUAAAAGACCAGAGAAAGAGCAGAUGAUUUGAAUAGAAAAGAAGUAUCCCAAAUACAGUAAGUACUGUAAUGGCAAAAGUAUACACCGAAAAACCCUUGGAUAAGUUUAGCAGAGAGAUGGAAAUUCUGAGAAAUGAGGAAAGACGAGACUCACGAACACUGCAAGACAUGAGGCAAGCCUUUGACGCGCUUCUGUGGGAGGAGGAAAUCAGUGAGCCUGGAGACAGAACUGAGGAAAUGUCCAGAGCUGAAAUGCACAGGGAAAAUUAAUGAGGAAAAUAAAAAGGGCCAGACUACCAGAGAACUCUGAACAGUUACGGCAGGUGUAACAUGUGCCACGGGAAGCCAGAGGAGGGGAGGGACAAAGGGGAGGAGACAGAUCUGAUGUCACAGUGGCUGAGAAUUUUCCAAACUUGAUGGGCAAGCAACGUGGAAGCUCGGCUGCACCACACCACCGGCCGUCGGGCUCAAACUCUGGAGCCUAGAACCAGAGAAACUGGGGGAAGUGGUCUUCGGUCCCCUUCAUCUCUGUCUCUGAGGGUUUCAAAUUCAUGACUCCUAACCUGCCCUUAAUAUGUUCUACCUUCUACUUACAUCCAGGACGUAUUUUAACACAAUGCAGAGUCCAACAACCACCACUGCAAUCGGGACAAAGCACAUUACCUCCACCCACAGAGUUCCUUCCUGGUGCCUGCCUAUAUGUGGGCGACUCCCCGCUCUGCUCUGAAGGACAGAGUCCUACACAUUCCAGUGCCUCACCAAGCCCAGGAUACAAUCCCACUGCGCCGUGCCUGGCUAUCUUCAAAGGUCACCGACAGUGUAUGGCACAUUCUGCAGGACUUGGUGGGUGUGGGCUGCUGCCCAAAGCUCUCAGUGAGCUGUGCUGCUGGGCUCUGGCCAGAGGGGUGCGCGGCAGGACUGGUGGCUGUCCUCAUCCCCAGGGUACCUUCCUUUCCCCUCCCGCCACAAGAAUCCCUGUACUAGGGUCCACAGAGACACCAGGGACAGAGCGGAGACCUGGAGCACUGGGCCCGGAGCCCCUGAGCCUGCUCUUACAGAGCAAUGCACCACUCCCAGCGUUCCAACACUCCACAAACAUGCAAUGCACAGACACACACAUACACACGCACAGACACGUGCACACCGUACAUGCCAUACACACCCACAUGAUGCUCACUUGCACUGCAUAGAACCCUGUGUCUGCAGAAGCUGUCCAGGGUCUAGGGGUCCAGGGUCUAGGCAGCCUGCACAUGUCACAGAGACCCUGAACCCACAUGGCCUCUGCUCCACCUCCUAGGCAAAGACCAGCACCGCACACCGAUGGUCACUCACUCCUCAUUGUGCUGUGGCCGCCUCACCACAUGUGCACACCUUCACACCACCGCUGGGAGGCUGUGUCAGGACCAAGUCACCCCGGAGGAGGGCAUCGUGCUCUGAGCAGAAGAUGAGCUUUAGGAUGUCCAGGCAGAGUCCCUGGCACCUGUGGGGUCCCCGCCAAGCUCCCUCCUGCCAACCCCACCUGCUCCUGUGACAAGGGCUGAGCAGUGACAAGGGCCACUGGGCCUUCUCUUCUCCUGCCCCACUCACAUUUUCCUUGGAGGAAGGCCCAGAGCCCAGCCCCUGCCCUGCCCUGCCCAGCCUUGCCCUGGGCUGGCUCUCCCACGGGUCUCCUGUGCUUUGUCCCCUUUAUUUUUCAAUGCUCAAGGGCGCUUAGGCUCUGGAACACCGGAGGGGAUGAACGUGUCCCUUCUCCUCUGUGCUGCCACUUCCGUGUGGACCAGGGCUCUUCUUCCAGGCUGUUCCAAGUUCAGCCUGGGGUUUGGGAAAGGUGGGGCUUCUGAGAGGAAGUGCCUUCAAGAAGGGAGGAAGUAAGAUGCCCGGACAGGAAGUGGUUCCAGAAAAAGAAGAAGCGGGGCCUCUCUGGGGAGGAAGUAGGCCCAGGAAGGGAGGACUGGGAGCUGCAAGCACCCCUCACUACCCAUCCCUUAAGUCAGACACAGCCCAGCAACCCAGCCACCUUCGACCCAUCCAGACACUCAUGCUGCCUUCUACCUGCUGGCUGCUCUCUCCUUAAGUGCUGGCUGAGUUGCAUAUGCGCCUGUGUGUCGGAGCUGCUGUGCUGGUGGAGAAGAUGCCCUGAGUUUAUGGCCUCUUCCCUUUCCUGUGCAGGUCCUCGUGAGUACCCCCAACAUCUCCAGG